rnacentral:rRNA from 1 species
CAACGAGCGUAGUAGUUUGAUCCUGGCUACACGGACGAACGCUGGCGGCGUGCCUAACACAUGCAAGUCGAACGAAGCUCGGCGGUUUGAGAUUUCGGUCAAGAACCAAAGAUGACUUAGUGGCGGACGGGUGAGUAAUGCGUGAGCAACCUGCCCUUCAGAGGGGGACAACAGUUGGAAACGACUGCUAAUACCGCAUAACGUAUCGGGAAGGCAUCUUUUUGAUACCAAAGAUUUUAUCGCUGAAGGAUGGGCUCACGUCUGAUUAGCUAGUUGGCGGGGUAACGGCCCACCAAGGCUGCGAUCAGUAGCCGGACUGAGAGGUUGAACGGCCACAUUGGGACUGAGAUACGGCCCAAACUCCUACGGGAGGCAGCAGUGGGGAAUAUUGGGCAAUGGGCGAAAGCCUGACCCAGCAACGCCGCGUGAAGGAAGAAGGUCUUCGGAUUGUAAACUUCUUUUAUGAGGGACGAAGGACGUGACGGUACCUCAUGAAUAAGCCACGGCUAACUACGUGCC